CUCAAAAAGCAAAAAAAAAAAAAAAAAAAGAAAAAAAAAUACCGUCUAUUCCUUUUGUCCUCCAAGCCAUCUAACUAGCAGCACUAUCUGCUUUCCCUUAACUGUCGGCUAUUUUAUGGAGUUCUUGAAGACUACGAAACUGAGUAAUCACAUGGUUUCUCUCAAUUUUAGGUGGGUUUAUCUCAAUCUUUUUUCAAGUGAUGCCCUAGAAACUGAAAACACUUUCCAAUCUUUUUCCUUUUUUUUUUUGUUUGCUUUUGAAAAAUAGAAAAAUUGGUGACCAAAAAAAAAAAAAAACAGGUAAUGAAAUUUUUGUUAGUAUUUGGCUACGAAUUCAGUGAGUCAUACUUGGAAUGGUUACUAAUGGUUGCAUAUGUGGGAGGUAUUGCUGCUCCUCUGAAUUACAGACGGGGGUUUGAAAAGGUGAUGCUUGCUAUGAAGAUGGUGAAUCCAGUAUUGCUGGUGAUGAAUAAGAGCUGCAACCACUGGUUUCCAAAACUCUGGACAUAUGAUUUGCCUUCUCUAAGAUGGCGGGUUUCCUUUGAGGAAGAAAAAAAUUCAAUAGGAACAUGGAACUGUAUGUUGUUUCUUUGAAUUCUACAGAUUCAAUGCAGACCCAUUAUGAUUUUUUGCUUAGUAGCUGGUUUAGUUAGUCUCGUGUUCAUAUUCACAAUUCUUAAGUAUGGAAGCAAUUAAGAAGUGUUUUGCAAGGGAUUUACCUUUGAGUUACUCAUGGGCACCUGAGGGCACUGCUCUUAUUUGGUUCACAUCAGAUAUAAAAGCACUAUACUCUUUUUCA